rnacentral:lncRNA from 1 species
CUCUAAGACUUGCUGCUUGAUUUAGCUCCUGUGGGCUCACUGGCCUGGGUGGUUAUUGCUGUUGCUCUGGACCAGGCAGGAUGUAACAGGAGCUUUUUCAAGUUACAACCAGAAUAGCUAACUGAAAACUUUAAGCCAGGUGUGAGUGACUGGUGUUUCUCUCUGCUCCGUCCUGUCAUCAAGCUUCAGUUUUGCUGGGGAAUGACUUCACUGUUCUGGUUCAUGGUUUUGGCAUUCCAGCCAAUUUCCCACUCAUCACAUGGCCCAGUGGACCAGGACCUAGAGCCAGGGUCCUAGCCCUGAUCCCACUCAACCCUCCCACUCAUCCAAAACUGAUGGGGUUUCUGGAAUCAGAAGCUGGAACAUCAGGGAUCAGAGGAGCUAACAAUGAGAAGCCUCAUGCCAACCCAUCCAGCCCUGCCAGCAGCAUCAGCUGAUCCCUGGGCAGUUACAAUCAACAAAGAGGGAGAGAAUCAGAAGCAGAGAAAAUUCCCACCAGAGUCACCGAGGUCAUCUGGCUGGGGGACAGGCUGUGGAGAGGACAUUCUUUCUGCUGCCAUUGUUCCCCGCAUUCCACGGGACCAGGAGUGAUACUAAUUGCUGCCACCACAACUGCUUGAAUUCCUGGGGCAUUUUACUGUCUGUGAAGUGUUGGUAUGCCCAUGAUCCCAUGUGGCCCGCUCUGCUCCCUAAAACCUUGCAUCUUUUCAUCUUGAAUUUUUGCUGGCCUGUCCUUUUCUCUCUCCUUUUGCCUGAAGGCUUCUCUGGAGGGAAGGGCAAAGUGGUUUAGAGGCUUGGCUGUGUGGUCGAAGAUGGCUUCUUCACAUCUGGGAGGCCACUGUUGGCUGCCUACAUGUUAGCCUUCUUCUUUCUUGCUAAGAUGAUUCUGAUUUUUGUUCAGGUGAAGAUGUUCCCAGCUCCAAGGAGGAGCAAAACCUAACUGGUUUAAGCCAGUCGUAGCAAUCUGACCCCUGUUGAUAGUGACUGGUCCAGGGAUGGGCAGUGGGACCCUGUUCUGGCCUAGAUGUAAGUGAAAGUCUGGAGGGAUUCUGAGAAAGAUUUUACUAUCUGAUUAUAAGAGAGAUAAAGGGGAAAACCAUUUUUUCCUUCUUGGUUGAGACACUGCUACGCGAGGACAUGGUGCUUGGAGCUUUGGUAGCCAAAUUCUGUUGAUGCUGAUAACAGCAGAAAAUGAGCAAUGCUUGAUAGAGACGUCUGGGAGUGCUGAGGCAAUCCUGGGCUCACCGAGCUCUAGAUUUCUUAUAAAGAAGCCAUAUAUAUAUGUCCUUGAUGUUUACAAAAUUAACGCCUUGCUUUUUAAG